rnacentral:lncRNA from 1 species
UUCUGAUGACUAAUCCAGAUUACACUGUCUCUCUAAUAUGCUUAUCACUACUAGUCUUAAGAAGCCUAUGACAUGCUAGAGCAGUGAUGGUGAACCUAUGACAUGUAUGCCAAAGAUGGCACACAGAGUGCUAUCUGUAGACACCAGUACUGUCCCUGCCAGAGUUUGUUAUUAGUAGAAAGGCAGAAGAACUUGGGCUGAGCUGCUCACUUUCCUCUUUCCAUAGUGCCAGAUGACUUUUUCACACCACCUUCCUUUCUGCUCAACAGUCUAAUGGGAACACUUCCUAAUCCCCUCUCUGGGAUAAGCUUCCCUCGCAUGCCCAAGAAAGAUCUGACAAUGCUAGGGAUGAACCUGAAGCCAGUGGAGCAAAUUAGGUCUAUGACUGCUGCUGACCUCAGGGAGUCUCUCUGCGCUGCAGCACGAAUCCUCCUCUCAGGCCUCUGGGAACAUUUCAUCAGUAUCUCUGAGUGCUCUUCUCCCUGUUACCUGUCUGCCGUGUGAACAAAAACUCCAAAGAACUGGCAAGAUCAUCCAAGGUGAACGUGGGUCCAGGUAGGCCAUUGGUUUCUCUGUUCUUCCAGGAUAUGUUAUGAAUAAAUAACCUUUGCUCUGAUUGUCCCA